CGUGUUUGUCUGGUGAUCACCACUUUUAUAUGCUCAUUUUACAAAGUACAAGCCUAAAGACAUUGUAUUGUAAAAAAAGCAAGUAACGAAAACUAAGUUUCUCAAUGCCUCUGUUUGCAAGAAGACGGGUUCUGUGCUUUAGAGGACUGUUUUCUGCAAAGAGUUUUGGGGCUUCAUUCUCAAAGCUAUGUGCUCCACAUUGUCAUUGGCGCACUUUUUAUCUGAAAGGGGUGGGGGAAAAAAAAACACCCUUACAAUUCUGAAACAAACAAGAAACAACUUGACUACUUCCAAAUUGUUACGUUAAAAGUGUAAGUUGUUUUAUGUGUGGUUUGGCAGCGUUACUGUGUGCUCAUGCUGAAUUGGAGUACCUCGCUUUGAGAAUGUAGCUGUUUGUGGUUCGUGGUGGAUACUUGGGCUCGCUCUUAUGUGUUGUGUAAGUAACGCAGGCCUGGUUCAUGAGGGCCCUGUUGUAAAGAGUGUGUUUGAGGACCAGUAGGUGAGAGACCUGGUUUGCUACUUAUUUAAAUCGUACCUUCAGGUGUCAUUUUAAUUGUUUGGUCAUUUGGUUUGAUUCUAGGCUCUGUUGACUCAGUACUGACUUUGUAUCUUUUUUUCUCCCUAUAUCUGCUUUUACUUUUGAGCUAGAAAAUCCUGGCACUCAGCCACUUUCCUCCAUUCCAUUCAGAUCACACGACUGCGACUUUUCUGCUUUGUCUACUCCACUUAGUCUCUAUAAAUGUGAAGGUGGUGUGGCCGGCAGAGUUGAUGAUAACUGAACCCAGAACCGCUCGCAGUGAUUCCAAGCACUAUUAAGGGAAUUGUAACAAAGUGAUUCAGUGGACAUUUGAAGCCACUUUACUUCACCAGUGUGUGUCAGGACGUGGCUAACAGUUCAUGUCCUUUGUUUGUUUACUUUAGCUACUUAAGAGUCUUGUUGUGUGGCUGGGGUAAAUUCUGUAUAUGAAAGGGUUGGAAGUAAGACUCCCAUUGCAUAGCGGUCUUAUUACGCUCACACUGCUAUGCACUGGGAGUGCUUUUUUCUUCCCUGCUUUUAUGAGAGCAGUGAAUCGAGCACAAAUUAAGGAAGUCGCUUCAAAAGUCUCUUUCAUUGCUUUUUUACAGCCUUUCUCAGUGGUUCUUGGCUAUGUUGCUCCAUUUCAGUUGCUUUACAUUUUUUCUCAAUCUGCCUUUACCUGGCAUUGAAUUUACUUUCAAUUGGAGAAUCCUAAAUGAUGGGAGCUAAACAGUUCCAUUCAAAUCAUGUGACAGUAUGACCUUUCAACCCUGCCAGCGCUGCCUAACAGUAUAUACAGAGUGGGUGGGACUGGCAAAGGCUGCUUUAGAUGAUGAUGAUGAUGAUGACGUAACAGAACCCAGAAGCACUCAGAAUGCCUUCAAUCACGACAAGUAGGGAAGGAAAUAAGCAACUCAAAUGACAUUAGGAGCUGCUUACUCGUUGAAGUAUCUUUUUGAACUCUGUGUUAAAGUGCUUUGACUGAGUUCAGGAGCUGCUCUUCAGUUUUUUAACUUGCCAUAGGCAUAUAAUGUAGGUUGGAUCAGCCAAUGCAGGGCUGGCCAAAGCUGUGCCUUCCAGUCCUGGUCUUUGUUCCAACCCUGUUCUGAAUUGUUUACUUGAACCCAUUAAACCAGUGGUGCACAACUCGGUCCUGGAGGGCCGGUGACCCUGCAGGUUUUAUUCCAACUGCACCCUAAAGUACUUUAUCGGACCUUUAUUAGAAGCAUAAUUGGUCCAGUUAACUAAUUUAGGGUAUGAUUAGAACAAAAACCAGGAGCCCUCCAUGACCUGAGUUGUUAAACCACUGCAUUAAACCUCCAUCCAGACCCUGAACUAGUUCAUGAUCUCAUUGUACCUGUUAAACCUGGAGUGGCAUGGCCUUCCAGGAUCGUGAUUGGACAGCCCUGAGCUGAAGUGUCUUCGUUAGUAAGUGAUGGCAAGAGCACAGCAGUACAGCCAGCAUAGCUAAAGGAACCUGGUUUCCAAAGCUCUAGCCUGGGUUACAUACUGUGUGUGUGACAGACAACUAGAAUUGAAGAGCGCAGGAAAAAUAACCUUCGCGUUUCUGAGCUUUAUUAAAGCAGACCCUUGCUGUGCAAGAUUAGCUACAGUAAGAAAUGUAUAUGUUUGGUUAAAUUUAUUUGGAUAAAUGCACGUAUCCGAUGUGCGCUGGCCUCGAGUCUUGCAGAAGCGGUGGAUUUACUGUCUUUUAUAGCCACAGCCAAGCAGCAUUUUCAAACUGCUGUGUUGUAGUGCCAAGUUGUUUGUGUUUCGUUGCUGUGUUCAGAGCUUGCUCACUAGUCCUGGAAGUUGGAAUGAGUAUACGAGAUAAUAAUUUGCAUGGUAGGCUUGCACAAUUCAGGGCCUCCUGGUCUUUGUUCCACUGGUACCCUAAAUUACUGGACUGGAUCCAUUUAACCCCCAUUCCUCUGUAAUCAUUAUUAAACAAUGCUUGUAAAACCAGGAGGUGGGUGCUGUGGAGCACAUGGUAUCGCCCUAGGGAAGUCAGGUGAGGACCCAUUUCAUCAAGAUGAUGGAGGUGAAUGAGUGAAGUCAGGUGAGGACCCAUUUCAUCAAGAUGAUGGAGGUGAAAUGUGACUUGAAACAUGAUGCCUCCUGUAGCAACUCUAACAACAAAGAAAUGGCUUAUAAGAAAGAUUGAUCCUUGUGGACUGUCCUGGCGUUGAGGGUGAAAGUGCCUUUAUACCACAGGUGUGAAGAGUUCCAGCGCUCAGUAACUUAUCUGUGGUCAAUGUGACAGUGCAUUUUUUAUUUCAGUGACAGUGACCGGGUGAAUGGCGCUGUUUCAAAUGAUGCUGUGUUGCUAUACAGAAGCAGAUCUUGACCUGAGGCAAUGUAGUUCUGUAAAAUAGGGGAGCGGGAGCGCUUUGGUUAUUUCACCCCUUCAGGACUCGUUGAUAAUUCUGCUGUCCUGAAUUACCGAAGUGGAAGGACUUAUAUUCCCCUGAGUGGAAUACCUACAGUAUCCCAGGAAAGUGGAAGGAGUGUCCUGUUUAUAUGCCAUUGAAGUGCAGGAAUAUGUAUUCUGUGUCGUCUUUUCUUUUUGGCGCUUUGUUUUGCGUAGGAAUAUUACUUCCCUUAUGCUGGAAUCAGGAUCUUGUGGGACGUUUACCAGGGAGGUGAUUAACUGAUUGAUUGAUUUAUUUAUUUAUUUAUUGCCGCUAUUAGUUAACAUUAUUUGUACGCAGCAGGCGUGGGCAUUUCCCUGUCACUUCCGGUAAGGAAUGUAUAUUUUGUCAGUGGUAUGGCGUAACUUGGAACAGUGUGGCACCUGGAAUUUCUGUCCUUGAAUUCUAACGAAUACAAGAUAGAUUGCAAAAUGAGAGCUGUUUAUAAAAAAAAAAAAAACUUAUUGUGAACUGCUAUUCUUCCACGAGUAAGACUCCUGUUUAAAUGAGUACCAGUAAUCUGCAGGUACUCAAGAAUAUAGAAAUAGUUCUGAAAAUACAAUCCAAGCAGAGAGAUGUAAUGGUGCCGACGCUCGACUCACGGGUGGUUUUACACGACUAUCUUUUAAGAAGGAUACUCGCUGCAGCUUUAAGAAGCUUUCAGAGUUCACCUAUUUCUGAUAAAUCCAGGUUGCUUAUAUAUGAAUGAAUAUGUGUCAGUUCCAGUCCAUCUUAUCCUGUGUACAGAUGUCAUCCAGGGCACAAUUCUAUAACCCAUCCCAGCAAUGCCUUUUCUGUUUAACCACAGUUCCUGAGAGUGAUCUUCGUUUGUGUUUUUUCCAGUAAUGUAAUGCAUUGUGUAUAGGGAAGUCAUUUCACACAGAUUGAGCAGCCAGAACUCUCAACUUGACACUGACACUUGACAUCGCCGUCACUGUCCGAGACACCCAACACGCCACAUGUUGACUUGUAUUACACGCCAGAGGAACUGAUUGCCCCAUGCCUAUGGGAACUACAUGUCAGAAUAUACUACAGUAUACACAAUUAGGACACAGUGUGAUAACCCUAAUGGCAUACACUUGUUAUCUCAGCACGGCUCCAGUCUAUUGAAUUAAACUGCCACUGACUUGGACUUUCUGUUAGUGAAGUCAAUGGGGAUUGAAAGUGCUGGUGUCAUAGACCCUGAUUUAGCUGUAAGCUGGGACUGCCUCGUCUUUCCUUUAGUAAAGAUAGUCCAUGGUUAGGGUUAGACCCUGAUUUAGCUGUAAGCUGGGACUGCCUCGUCUUUCCUUUAGUGAAGGUAGUCCAGGGUUUGGGCAAACUGCAAUCUGUGAAACCAGCUGGAAUUGUUACAGUCAUGCAGCCUGAAUUCUAGAAUACAAAGCAAGCAAUAUACAAAUAUAAAGCAAUAUACAAUUAUAAAGCAAUAUACAGCAUAAAACACAUGAGGGACCCGUGACAUUGCUAAUGCUAAAGAAAAAGACUGGAAACCCCUGGUUAGAAUUCUUUUACUGUCUUUAGGAAAUUGACUGUACAGUAUGUAUACAUACUAUAUAUUGUUUUUAAAUGUUAAGUACACAUGGCAGUCUGAUGUUCCUUAACAAGUUUUCAACUUUACGAUGUAAGCUGUAAUCAAGCAGUACAACCUUGCAGAUUGCAAGCAGUGUGACAGAGUGUGGCUUCUUAAGUGCACUGUGGGAGCUUAAUGUAAUCACAACAGCAUCCAAAGUGUCAAUUACACCAGCCUUUACAUUAGUGCUACUCAACACUGGCCCUCGAGAUGGAUUCCAGUCCUGGUCUUUAUUCCAGCCAGGUCGUAAAUGUGUGAAAUGCCUCAUAGCAGCUUCAGUGAACUACAUUACCACCCGCUUGGAGUAAAACCCGGGACUGGAUUAGAUCUUGAGGAACAGAGCUGCGUACCACUGCUCUACACCAAGGUGGGCUUGUGCUGCCUGCUAAAUGUUCAUUGUUCGUUGCUGAUCAGUGCUCUAGUGAGCAGGUGCAAGGUCGAGUGGGCUUGUUACAAUUAUUCCCAUUGAUGUGGUGGUGAUAACCGUGUGCAUUUUGCUGUGCUAAUAGAAACUUUGAUAAGAUAUUAAACCUGCUGUCCUUGUAGAUCUCACCACAGGAGUCUUGAGUGUCCAGGUUUUUGUAAUGUGUUGUUCUUUGGGGUGGAUCUGUAUCUUAUUGAAAUACGUUGUCUGGUUCAUGUUAUUCAGCAUUGUUUUCUUUAGCGAAGUGGCAGUGACGCUGCCGUUCCGGAUUCUGUCCCGUCAGUGAGAUGAAGAUGAGGUUAAAAGCUCUGUAACUACAUGUGCAGAUGAGCCUGGCUCUCUUGCAGUGUUUGGGGUCAUUGGUUCACAUGCAGGUCAGCCUGGCUCUCUUGCAUUGUGGUUAAGAUGCUCUCUUGCAGUGUUUGGGGUCGUUGGUCCACAUGCAGGUGAGCCCGGCUCUCUUGCAGUGUUUGGGGUCGUUGGUUCACAUGCAGGUCAGCCUGGGUCUCUUGCAUUGUGGUUAAGAUGCUCUCUUGCAGUGUUUGGGGUCGUUGGUUCACAUGCAGGUGAGCCCGGCUCUCUUGCAGUGUUUGGGGUCGUUGGUUCACAUGCAGGUGAGUCUGGCUCUCUUGCAUUGUGGUUAAGAUGCUCUCUUGCAGUGUUUGGGGUCGUUGGUUCACAUGCAGGUGAGCCCGGCUCUCUUGCAGUGUUUGGAGUCGUUGGUUCACAUGCAGGUCAGCCUGGGUCUUUUGCAUUGUGGUUAAGAUGCUCUCUUGCAGUGUUUGGGGUCGUUGGUUCACAUGCAGGUGAGCCCGGCUCUCUUGCAGUGUUUGGGGUCGUUGGUUCACAUGCAGGUGAGUCUGGCUCUCUUGCAUUGUGGUUAAGAUGCUCUCUUGCAGUGUUUGGGGUCGUUGGUGCACAUGCAGGUGAGCCCGGCUCUCUUGCAGUGUUUGGGGUCGUUGGUUCACACCCAGCCUUCGCCCUGUUAUAGCGGCAUUCAAACACUUAGGAUUUUAACGUAUUCUAUGCUCUCUUACUUCCUAAUAGAUUACUGGACAUGUAGUAAUCAACCAUAAUCCAUGCAUUGAGUACAUUUGAGUGUUUCACAAGGGGAAUGUGACCAUGUGCCUGGGAGGGACUGAUUUGUGUUGAUAGUGUCUUUAGAUUUGUACGUACAAAGUUAGUUUGUCGCCUUGUCCUCUGCUGGAUAUGCUGUUUAGAAAUGCUGAUUCGUUGAAUUUGUGAAGUUUCUUUUUAGUAUGUGUGAAUUCAGCACCACUGGGUCUUUAAUAGUUUGGAUGAUGGAAUAUACUGUAGAAAGUUGCUGAUAAAGAAACCGCAAUGAGACCAAAACUUCUAGGGAAUGUUGCCAUGUUGCCUCUGCUUUGAAUUAAGUUACUAUAGCUCACAUUGCUUCCAAAGCUGUCCCAUUACAGCCAUUGAAGAGUGCAAGUUUCUUAACUUGCCUUGGCUAUCUUCUGAGUGUGAACGCCACCCCCACGAAGGGAAAACUGCAUUGUCUUUAGGCCUGUCCUUUGGGGGGAAAAAAAACAAACCUUUUGUUCAUUCUUGUCAAAAUUGCAGUCUCAGGGUUAUAGCACUCCUGUUUGGUUUUGUUCAAAACGAGCGAAUCCCUGCUAAUACCGCUCUUCUGUGCCUUUUCGUAUCUGGUACCAGACAUGUAUGUAAAACUCGACAGGACUAACAGCAAUGUGUGCGUGUGGAUACCGUCCUCACAGAAUACACUAAGACUGGCACAGUGGACCUCCAGCUCAGCACUGACAUCACAGGUUAUGUAUGCAAAACCAAGCGUCUUUCAUCCCAAACUCUACCCAGUAGUACGCAUUCACAUUGGAACCUGUCUUCACCCACCUCAUAACAGCUCAGAUGCCUGCAACUAAUGUGCGUUGUGCUUUUUUUAUUAUUUUUUUACAGUGAAACCUGUCUUGACAGUCACCAGAACUAAGGGGCCCCUCUGUUCUUACCAGCUUUAGAAACCCCAGAAAGGAUUUUUUUCUGUAACAGACAACUCGAAGACUCCAGUUUCCAGACCCAAUUGGUGACCAUUCUAUUCAGGUUUCACUGUACUUUGUCGCACUGAAGACACUCUACUGCCUGGCCACUUUAUUAGGACAUGAACCUACGACUGGGUCGGGCCCAUGUUUGCCCCGAUCAGAACCUUGAACCUUGACGUUAAUCCACUUGCUCAUUAAUAUUUCCCGCAAGUGUAGAAACAGGCUGAGCGUCAUUCAAAUUCAUCCCAAACUUGCUAAAUUUUAUAGUGAAAUCUGGGGAUUGUGGUGGCCAUAGAAAUGCCUAAAGUUAGCCGCUAACAUGCCAGUCUGGCACGGUGGAUGGGAACGUUAUUGUCUUGAGUGUUGCCAACGCAAUCAGUACAAGUACAGCAUUGUUGGGUGGUCUCAACCCACAACAAUGCUUCAGACCUACAGCAUUCGUAAUCGAGGCUCGCAGUGCACACUGCAGGGCUGCUGUGUCUGUUGUGUAGAAGAGGGUCCUGUCUUUUUCAAACCCUGCCCUCUGGUCACUGCUCUACCCAUCCCUCUCAAGGCUGAGAAGUGUUCACUGGAAGCACAUGCUGAUCAUCCCAAUACAACCCCCCCCCCCGCCCCCAAUAGCCCCCUUCACGCAGGGCAGGGGGCACAUUAAGACACAGCCUGGCACUUUUCUCCCUUUUGAACAGCAUCCUCAAUGAACUGGAGCUGCAAGAAAACCAAGGAUCUUUCUGCAAAACUAAAAUUCCGUUGCACACAACCCACCCUACAAGAUACACGCAAGGAGAUGAGAGCGGGAGAAAGAGUUUCUCUGAACAGUUUGGGAGGAAAACGGAUCUCUAACAUUUUAAAAGUUUUUACCUUCUUUGUAAUAAAGCUGAAAGGAUCACUGUAGCUACAAAGUCAUGGUGCGUGCUUGUGUCAAGUUUGCUGUCACUUUUCAGAUUUCUACUCUCCAUUACUGAAAAGCAUCCCUGUAAACAACACUGUCAAACCCAUCUUCAGCUGCAGACCCAAUACCAGAGUUGUACUGUAAGUGAACCCAGCUGAACCAUAAGGAGACCACAGCAACACCAGCAAAGACAUCCCAAUGGGUUCAGAACCAGUAUUACUGGGACCAGCUCGCUUGUGGGUCAUCCUACUGUGACACCAUUGAUAUGUUGAAAUAUGAGGCAUUUGUGGUUUCAUUCCUCCCAUAGCUUGUGCAAUUGUAGCCCCACACUUUCAUUCACCUUGAUUAGAGCAGUCCUGAAUUUUCAUUAAAGCAUUGUUACUGGGUGAGAGAUGGCCCUUAUAAAAAUGUCCCAUAGUGAAAGCACAUUAAAGAAUAGGUAUGGUAAAGCAUAUAAAAAAAAAAAAACUACAAAAAACAGUGUAAACCUUUAUAACCUACAGCAACUGCAUAGCAGAGCCCUGGUGCACAAAGUGCACAAUUCCUGUGGUAAACUGUUCUGAGGGGUGCAGUAAACAGAAAGCUCAUUAAUAACAUGCCUUGCAGGCUCUGUCAGCCUUCAUCCAUGCUGGUUCUCCUCACAGCUGCCUAGACUAUUGGACAGUGUCAGGGAAAGCAGAACUCCACAACCCCGAGCAUUCCUUUUCAACAUUCCUUGUGUGCAGUAACAUGGGUAGUUUGUGAUUGAAUGUUAUUUUAUUUUUUUUAAGUGAUGUUUUUUAUGUGUACUGUAAAAAGAGCUCUAUAACGUUCCCGAUGUGCACCUUCGUUUCUGUAUUCUGAAUAAAGUAUAUUUGGCUA